UACUAGAGUAGCACUCGCAUAUCAAUAAGCGGAGGAAAAGUCAGCUACCUACGCUUAGGAUGUUGACGAGACUGUCGAUCUCAUCUAUACAUGACUCUGUGCAUAUCAAUAAGCGGAGGAAAAGAAACUAACAAGGAUUCCCCUAGUAACGGCGAGUGAAGCGGGAAGAGCUCAAAUUUGAAAUCUUAAAGGGUUUCCCUUUACGAAUUGUAGUUUAAAGAAGUGUUUUCUGUUGAGGUUUUGGUAAAAGUUCUUUGGAAUAGGACAUCAUAGAGGGUGAGAAUCCCGUAUUUGACCUUUACUUUCAACUUUGUGAUACACUUUCAAAGAGUCGGAUUGUUUGGGAAUGCAGUCCAAAAUGGGUGGUAAAUUUCAUCUAAAGCUAAAUAUUGGCGAGAGACCGAUAGCGAACAAGUACCGUGAGGGAAAGAUGAAAAGAACUUUGAAAAGAGAGUUAAACAGUACGUGAAAUUGUCAAAAGGGAAGCGUUUGACACCAGUGUUGUUUUUCUGAAAAUCAAUUAAAGAACUGUUUAUGCUAAGUUGUUUAGACUUUAUCAGCUAACUGUUUAGUUUUGAGCUUUUCUUUAAUGCACUUUUCAGUUAACAAGUCAACAUCAAUUUCUUUUGCUGUAAAAAAGCUUGAGGAAGGUGGCUUGAGAUUCGUCUUAAGUGUUUAUAGCCUCUUGCCUAUGCAGUCGGAGAGAUUGAGGUCUGCAGCGUAGAUCCUUCGGGGCUAAAUGCAUUUGUGCUAAGUUAUAGCAUUUUAUAGACAACUUGUUGACUAUGAUUUGUCUUGUAGCUUACUCGCUUAUGUUAUUUUACCUACGCUUAGGAUGUUGAGUCAUCACACAUCUCU
rnacentral:rRNA from 1 species